GUCCACGCCGUAAACGAUGGGCGCUAGGUGUGGGAGGUGUCGACUCCUUCCGUGCCGCAGCUAACGCAUUAAGCGCCCCGCCUGGGGAGUACGGCCGCAAGGCUAAAACUCAAAGGAAUUGACGGGGGCCCGCACAAGCAGCGUAGCAUGUGGUUUAAUUGGAUGCAACGCCAAGAACCUUACCAAGGCAUGACAUGUUCGGGAAAGCUGGAGAAAUUCAGCCCUCCUUCGGGACCCGAUCACAGGUGGUGCAUGGCUGUCGU
rnacentral:rRNA from 1 species